UGGGGAAUAUUGCACAAUGGGCGAAAGCCUGAUGCAGCAACGCCGCGUGAGUGAUGAAGGCCUUCGGGUUGUAAAGCUCUGUCUUUUGGGACGAUAAUGACGGUACCAAAGGAGGAAGCCACGGCUAACUACGUGCCAGCAGCCGCGGUAAUACGUAGGUGGCAAGCGUUGUCCGGAUUUACUGGGCGUAAAGGAUGCGUAGGCGGACUUUUAAGUGAGAUGUGAAAUACCCGGGCUUAACUUGGGUGCUGCAUUUCAAACUGGGAAUCUAGAGUGCGGGAGAGGAGAAUGGAAUUCCUAGUGUAGCGGUGAAAUGCGUAGAGAUUAGGAAGAACACCAGUGGCGAAGGCGAUUCUCUGGACCGUAACUGACGCUGAGGCAUGAAAGCGUGGGUAGCAAACAGGAUUAGAUACCCUGGUAGUCCACGCCGUAAACGAUGAGUACUAGGUGUAGGAGGUAUCGACCCCUUCUGUGCCGCAGUUAACACAAUAAGUACUCCGCCUGGGAAGUACGAUCGCAAGAUUAAAACUCAAAGGAAUUGACGGGGUCAAUAGCUGUUUCC
rnacentral:rRNA from 1 species